GUGGGCUGGAACCCAGGAACCACGAAAUCAUGACCUGAGCUGAAAUCGGAUGCUUAACUGACUGAUUGCUUUCUUUUUUUUUGGUUUUAUUUUUGAUAGAAAUAGGCUGUGUGUGUGAGAGAGCUGGGAAGGGAGAGAGAGAGAGAGACAAAGGAUCUGAAGCAGACUCUGUGGUGACAGCAGAGAGCCCAAUGCAAGAUUCAAACUCACAAACCAUAAGAUCAUGAUCUGAGCUGAAGUUGGCUGCUUAACCAACUGAGACACCCAGGUGCCCCCAAGUCUCAAUGUCUAAAGGCAUCUCCUUAUAAGUUUUCCAGCCCUUUCUUCAGAUAUUCGCCCCAUAUUUCUGUAUAAUAAUCUUCUACAACUGUGUUUUAUCAAUUUUAGAUAUUACCUAUUGACUUCUUGUUAUGGUAAGUAAGAAUUUAAAUUUCUAAACUCUACCUUCCUUGUCUCUAAUAAUGUUAAAUCAUUAAUCAGAGCAUACAAUUAGUGGUUGUGUAAAUACUGCUUAUUGCUGAGCCAGGUAGAAUGCUCUGAUUGUUCCUUUUCUUAUAAAAUACUUGGUCUUCUUGAAACUGUUUCAUUGGUUCCCAUUCAGUAUAUGUAUUGUGAGUUUUUUUAAUUUUCCAAUGAAUAUAUAAAGCAGAGUUCAAUAUUAUUUUCAAAGUAACAGAUAACUAAUUAGUUCCAUGUUUUCCCCUUGAAUAUCACCUUCUUGUUUCUUGUCAGUAGGAUGACUUUAGAAGUUGGGCCCACAAAACUAGACAAAAAAACAAUGACAGAUACUCAGAGGUCAAUCCAAUGACAUCUUUCUAUCCCUAAGAGUUGUGUGGUCUUACUAGUCAGGAAAAAUUCAAAAUGAAUGAAGGGUUCAUAAAGUUCAGUUUUUAAAGUUAGACAGGGAGAUAUUUAUACUUGAAGAAGGGCCAAAGAAAUUCAAAAUCCCAUCAAGUCAUAUAGCCAAUUACAUGGAAGUGGUCAACUUAAAGAAUUCUUUGAGUAGACAGAAAAAUUAAGAUAAUUUGUGUUUCCAUUCUAAGAGUUGCAGCACACUUAAAAUCCUCUUCCUUCUUUAGGUCAUGACUUUCUUAGUAUAGCAGCUAUAAGCAGUGCUCAUUAAGUCCCAUCAAAGUUGAAGGCAAGAAUCCCAUCCUUGCCUAGUCCAAGGUCUUCUCAGAACAGAAGGAAACUGAACAAGCUGAGAAGAUGGCCAUAAAAAUGACAUAGGAUGGCUUUUUGUGAUAAGCAACAAUAAGAUGAUAUAUGGGAAAAUGCUUGGUAGACUAUGAAGCAUACCACCAAGAAUACCAUUUACUUGCCUGAAAGUUCCAUAUUGCAAUAAAGCAUCUUGUUACCGUGAGCCUACACCAAAUGUUAACAAUGUUUAUGAAGCGCUGGAGCACCACACAUGAUUUUAUAUGGAGUUUGAGUAAGGUAUGCUCCCAGGAUGUGGGAAUGAAGAAAGUUGCUCAUCCAGGAUUUGUAGCAAUGGAAAGGCAAGAACUGAAAAUGUGACUACAGAGACAUGAUGUUUCUUUAUUUUUGAGACAGAGACAGAGCGUGAACAGGGGAGGGGCAGAGAGAGAGAGGGAGACACAGAAUUCCAAGCAGGCUGCAGGCUCCGAGCUGUCAGCACAGAGCCCGAAUGGGGGCUCGAACCCACGAACUGUGAGAUCGUGACCUGAGCCAAAGUCGGAGGCUUAACCCACUCAGCUGCCCAGGCACCCUGGCAACCUGACUUCUUAAUUCAAGUAAAUCGAUUUUUCAUGGGGAAGGGAAAUUAAAGAAGAAACUAAGAUUUUUGAGCACCUUCGGGACGCCAAAAGCCCCACACCGUUGUUUCACUGCAUCUUAACUUCUGCUCCACGAGGACUAUCCUCCCCAGUGUAAGUAUUCCAUCAGGUGACGCUGUCUGAACCCGAACCCCAUCUCGUCUGACUCCAAAGCCCACUGACGCUGCUUUAUAUACAUGUGGCCUCUGUUCAGCCAUAAGCCCGGAUGUACAGCUUUUUACACAAUAACCAUGUUCCUGAAAAAUGUAAAUUAAUUUCUGUAAAUGGAAUUCUAUUUCCAAUGUGUGGGGAGGCACUUUAUUUUAAAGCUUUACUGCCUCACUUGUGAAAUGAUUAGAGGGAGGUAGUUUUAGCUACUAGUUCUAGUGUUAUUUCCAACUGGAAAGUGUUAGGAUGUCACAGCACAUAGUGCAGUCUUCCACGAAGUCAUUCUAAGUCACGGGCCCUUUCUUCCAGGAGCGGGUAAGAUGCUUUAAAAUCAUAAAUCGUAAGGCAGGAAAAACACGUAUCAACCAGUGGUUGGCCAUCAAAUACAGAUCGACAUUUCCGCUGAAUAUUUCAGGACUACAUCUAUCACAAAGUGAGAUAAACUUCAUUUAGACUUCUAGCAAUUUUAGAUUGACACCCCAGCAGGAGGAACGUGGGAAAAGUCUGGAUCUGGUUUAAGUCUAAAUCAAAAAUCGUUUUCAAAAACAGUGUAAAAUCUCAAUCAAACUUUCAUAUAAUUUGCACCAUGUACUUGGUGAUACAUGCUUCCCUUCAAACUUGUAAAUGCUUUGAAAACACAUACAGCUGACCCUUGAACAACCCUCUACCACCAUGCUGUUGAAAAUCCACAUGUACCUUUCAACCCCUCAAAACUUAACUACUAGUAGCCUACUGUUGACUGGAAGCCUAAUCAGUAGCAUAAACAGUUGAUUUGUAUAUGUAUUAUGCACUGUAUUCUUACAAUAAAGUAAGCUAUAGAGAAGAGAAUAUUAAGAUAAUCAUAAGGAAGAGAAAAUACAUUUA